rnacentral:rRNA from 1 species
AGGACUGAAGUAAUGNUAUAGGGAUAGUGGGGCNUAGUNUUNANUNUCAGNGNGAAAUNUCGGAUUGUNAAGACUAACUAUGCGAAAGCAUUGCCAAGNNNGNNUUCAUUAUCAAGANCGAAAGUUAGGGGAUCAAAGACGAUCCAGAUACNGUCCUAGUCUUAACCAUAAANUACGCNGACUAGGGAUCGGAGGCGCGUCAUAUCNGCUUUCGGCACCUUAUGAGAAAUCAAAGUCUUUGGGUUNUGGGGGGAGUAUGGUCGCAAGGCUGAAACUUAAAGGAAUUGACGGAAGGGCACCACCAGGAGUGGAGCUUGCGGCUCAAUUUGACUCAACGCGGGAAAACUUACCAGGUCCAGACAUAGUGAGGAUUGACAGAUUGAUAGCUCUUUCUUGAUUNUAUGGGUGGUGGUGCAUGGCCGUUCUUAGUUAGUGGAGUGAUUUGUCUGGUUAAUUCCGUUAACGAACGAGACCUUAGCCUACUAACUAGUCGAUUCAAUUUCGAUUGACUCCGACUUNUUAGAGGGACUUUGUGGGCCAAACACAAGGAAGUUUGAGGCAAUAACAGGUCUGUGAUGCCCUUAGAUGUCCUGGGCCGCACGCGUGCUACACUGACGCAUACAGCGAGUACUUCCCAGCUCCGUGAGGCAGCUGGUAAUCAGCAAUAUGCGUCGUGAUGGGGAUAGAUCUUUGGAAUUAUAGAUCUUGAACGAGGAAUUCCUAGUAAGCGCAAGUCAUUACCUUGCGCUGAUUAAGUCCCUGCCCUUUGUACACACCGCCCGUCGCUCCUACCGAUUUCGAGUGGUCCGGUGAACCUUUUGGACUGCGCGAGGCCUCGUGCCUUGUGCGGAAAAUCAUGUAAACCAUAUCACUUAGAGGAAGGAGAAGUCGUAACAAGGUUUCCGUAGGUGAACCUGCAGAAGGAUCAAAGGGNNNAGGAAACAGCUAUGACAUCGGAAAACCCGUUACUGGCGCUGCGAGAGAAAAUCAGCGC